AUUGAACGCUGGCGGCAGGCCUAACACAUGCAAGUCGAACGAGUGGCGGACGGGUGAGUAAUGUCUGGGAAACUGCCCGAUGGAGGGGGAUAACUACUGGAAACGGUAGCUAAUACCGCAUACCAUCGGAUGUACCCAGAGUGGAUUAGCUAGUAGGUGGGGUAAAGGCUCACCUAGGCGACGCUCCAUAGCUGGUCUGAGAGGAUGACCCGCCACACGGGAACUUAGACACGGGCCAGACUCCUACGGGAGGCAGCAGUGGGGAAUAUUGCACAAUGGGCGCAAGCCUGAUGCAGCCAUGCCGCGUGUAUGAAGAAGGCCUUCGGGUUGUAAAGUACUUUCAGCGGGGAGGCGUUACCCGCAGAAGAAGCACCGGCUAACUCCGUGCCAGCCACCGCGGUAAUAC
rnacentral:rRNA from 1 species